rnacentral:rRNA from 1 species
UCUGGUUGAUCCUGCCAGUAGUCAUAUGCUUGUCUCAAAGAUUAAGCCAUGCAUGUCUAAGUACAAACCUUAAUACGGUGAAACCGCGAAUGGCUCAUUAAAUCAGCUAUGGUUCCUUAGAUCGUCUCAUCCUACUCGGAUAACUGUGGAAAAUCUAGAGCUAAUACGUGCUUACAAGCCCUGACCUCACGGGAGGGGCGCAUUUAUUAGAUCAAAACCAAUCGGGGCUUGCCCCGUCUGCUUGGUGACUCUGGAUAACUUUUGUGCUGAUCGCAUGGCCUCUGCGCUGGCGACGUAUCUUUCAAGUGUCUGCCCUAUCAACUUACGAUGGUAGGUGAUAUGCCUACCAUGGUUAUAACGGGUAACGGGGAAUCAGGGUUCGAUUCCGGAGAGGGAGCCUGAGAAACGGCUACCACAUCUAAGGAAGGCAGCAGGCGCGCAAAUUACCCACUCCCGGCACGGGGAGGUAGUGACGAAAAAUAACGAUACGGGACUCUUUUGAGGCCCCGUAAUUGGAAUGAGUACACUUUAAAUCCGUUAACAAGUAUCUAUUGGAGGGCAAGUCUGGUGCCAGCAGCCGCGGUAAUUCCAGCUCCAAUAGCGUAUAUUAAUGUUGCUGCAGUUAAAAAGCUCGUAGUUGGAUCUGAGGACUCGAAUUGGUGGUGCACCAUACGGUGUUACUGCCGAUUCGGCCUACCUAGUCGGUGCUCGCUCUUGGUGUUCUUAAUUGAAUGCCCUGAGUGCCCGGCAAGUUUACUUUGAAAAAAUUAGAGUGCUCAAAGCAGGCCAUUAGCCGGAAUACUUCAGCAUGGAAUAAUGGAAUAGGACUUCGGUUCUAUUUUGUUGGUUUUCGGAACCCGAGGUAAUGAUUAAGAGAGACAGACGGGGGCAUUCGUACUGCGGUGUUAGAGGUGAAAUUCUUGGAUCGCCGCAAGACGAACAACUGCGAAAGCAUUUGCCAAGAAUGUUUUCAUUAAUCAAGAACGAAAGUCAGAGGUUCGAAGACGAUCAGAUACCGUCCUAGUUCUGACCAUAAACGAUGCCAACUGGCGAUCCGAGAUCGUUUGCUUAUUGACCUCUCGGGCAGCCUCCGGGAAACCAAAGUUUUUAGGUUCCGGGGGAAGUAUGGUUGCAAAGCUGGCUAACUGUUCCAAAAAAACACCAAGUGGUCGGUUACUUGGUCUGUUCUGGCCCGGAGUCGGUAGGGUUUCCGGCCUUGUGCUCUUUCCUUACUGUUCUCUGUAACGCCGAAGGCGGGGCUUCCACGGUGGGGAAGCGGUUGUACAAAUCCGGCAAAUCCAGCCAAAUGGGUUCCGGACUCUGUCCAACCUGCAACUGGUAACAGCCUCGGCUGGCUAACAUUUGAGCUGGGACUCGCUUGGGAGGAGCGAGGAUAAUAUAAACCUCUAUGUGACUGAGGUGAGGAAUCUGGUUCUCGUAAAAUGGCUGGAGAUCCCGAGCCUGUAAGUCAUAAAUUAGUUCCCCACGAGGGGAGGUGUCGAAUUGAAGCCAGUGCGUGCCCUUACUAGUUUAAGGGAUUGUAUACUUCCUUUGGUGUACCCACCUGGAAGUGCCCAAGGGGUCCUAUCCCUGCACUCCAUCCCCGAUUGGAGUCAGGUGACGGCUCCUUA